rnacentral:tRNA from 4 species
GACGCGCUGGUUACGGACGUUGUGGCAGCUGUUCUGGAGCACCAUCCCGGUGUAUAUCCUCGCGGUGCUGAUCCUCGGCGCGGCAC